rnacentral:rRNA from 1 species
GACGAACGCUGGCGGCGUGCCUAAUACAUGCAAGUCGAGCGAGCGAAACUAACAGAUUUACUUCGGUAAUGACGUUAGGACAGCGAGCGGCGGAUGGGUGAGUAACACGUGGGGAACCUGCCCCAUAGUCUGGGAUACCACUUGGAAACAGGUGCUAAUACCGGAUAAGAAAGCAGAUCGCAUGAUCAGCUUUUAAAAGGCGGCGUAAGCUGUCGCUAUGGGAUGGCCCCGCGGUGCAUUAGCUAGUUGGUAAGGUAAAGGCUUACCAAGGCGAUGAUGCAUAGCCGAGUUGAGAGACUGAUCGGCCACAUUGGGACUGAGACACGGCCCAAACUCCUACGGGAGGCAGCAGUAGGGAAUCUUCCACAAAGGACGCAAGUCUGAUGGAGCAACGCCGCGUGAGUGAAGAAGGUUUUCGGAUCGUAAAGCUCUGUUGUUGGUGAAGAAGGAUAGAGGUAGUAACUGGCCUUUAUUUGACGGUAAUCAACCAGAAAGUCACGGCUAACUACGUG